rnacentral:rRNA from 1 species
AUUCCCCUAGUACUGCGAGUGAAGCGGGAAAAGCUCAAAUUUAAAAUCUGGCGGUCAUUGGCUGUCCGAGUUGUAAUCUAGAGAAGUGUUACCCGUGCUGGACCAUGUACAAGUCUCCUGGAAUGGAGCAUCACAGAGGGUGAGAAUCCCGUCUUUGACAUGGACUACCAGUGCUUUUGUGGUAUGCUCUCAAAGAGUCGAGUUGUUUGGGAAUGCAGCUCAAAAUGGGUGGUAAAUGCCAUCUAAAGCUAAAUAUUGGCGAGAGACCGAUAGCGAACAAGUACCGUGAGGGAAAGAUGAAAAGAACUUUGGAAAGAGAGUUAAACAGUACGUGAAAUUGCUGAAAGGGAAACGCUUGAAGUCAGUCGCAUUGACUUGUAAUCAACUCUGCUUUUGCUGGGUGUACUUUCUUGUCAAUGGGUCAGCAUCAAUUUUGACCGUUGGAAAAAGUUUUUGGGAAUGUGGCAUCUUCGGAUGUGUUAUAGCCCAAUGAUGUAUACAGCGGUUGGGAUUGAGGAACUCAGCACGCCACACAGGCCGGGUUUCGACCACGUUCGUGCUUAGGAUGCUGGCAUAAUGGCUUUAAUCGACCCGUCUUGAAACACGGACCAAGGAGUCUAACAUACCUGCGAGUGUUUGGGUGGAAAACCCAUGCGCGUAAUGAAAGUGAAAGGUUGAGAACCCUUUGGGGUGCAUCGACGCCCACACCAGACCUUUUGUGACGGAUCUGCGGUAGAGCAUGUAUG